ACAUGUGCAAACCAAUCCUGGCAAGGGGGUGUCCAUGGCCCUGUUGGUUCUAAAAGAUGCACACCCUGCAUCAGAAACUUCUUCCUUUGUUCCAGUAGUGUCUGCCCUCCUGAAGCUGAUGGUGCAGUGGGGGAGAAAGGGAUUUGCUCACGGAUUCAUCCACUAUCUCUUGGGUAAAUCCCCUGUGCCAGGCAGGAUCCCAGACACGGGGCACCACAGUGAACCAGACAGACAAACACCCACUGUUGUGAGGACCACGUCCUGGGAUGAGGGUUGUGUUUGGAGAGUCCCAGAGCGAGCAUCUCUCCACGUGCAUCGCACAGAGGAAGUGGCAUCUGAGCAGGACUCUGAGGAGUGAAACGCCUUCGGAGAGGUGGAGGUCAUGGGAAAGCUAAGAGCAAGGGCAGCGGAAACUGUGUGGAGAGAUCAGUGCAGAGAAAGUCACGCCAUGAAAGGAGAUUGUGCUGAGACUUGGGACAAGACUUUCCUCUCUUAAGUGAGGGUUACCAGAGGUCACCCCCUGCCUCUUGGGUGCAGAAUGAGGAUAUGAGGCCUGCUGAGGUGGCGUCCCACCACCAUGAAGGGAGCCUCUGGAUCAAACUUGACCUGAAGCCUAUCUACACGAUGCUUUUCAGCUCUGGAAACCAAAGAAUUUCCUUUUUUGGUUUAAGCCACUUUGAGCUGGAUUUUCUACUUUCUAUAACCAAAGACUCCCAACAGACCAGGUGGAUUGCUGGUCAUUAUUAUUGGUAUUAGCAUUCUGACAGCUGCCUGCAGUUUUGCAUAGGUGUCACCGGAGGUGUGGCAGGGAGCUGGGUGUCCACACAAACUGGAAGGAAAGAGGCCAGGGUAACCAGCAAAGACAAAUGUUGAGGCCGUUUAGCCACGGGACUAGCCAGAAGCAUUGGGACAUCCCUCAGCAUCGCCUGAGGGCCACCACGUCACCAAGGAGAGGUCACCCCUGACUCAGCCAGCCCAGGGUCGCACCUCUGCCCUUGUGAGCAAAGCUAGGAGCCAGCACACUCCCCAAAACGUGUCUAGUUUUCUUCCAACAGGUUGCAGUGUAGAAAUAAGCAGGCGCCUCUGACGCCUCGGACCA